GACAGAGGAGCCAAGCGUUGUCCGGAUUGACUGGGCGUAAAGCGCACGCAGGCGGAACGGCGCGUGGGGUGUGAAAGCUGGCGGCUUAACUGCCAGUCGCCAUCCCAUACGGCCAUUCUGGAGCCUUGCAGAGGGCAGUGGAAUUGCCGGUGUAGUGGUGAAAUGCGUAGGGAUCGGCAGGAACACCCAGGGGGAAACCAGCUGCCUGGGCAAGCGCUGACGCUGAGGUGCGAGAGCGUGGGGAGCGAACCGG
rnacentral:rRNA from 1 species